UAUGGAAGAUGUCUUUGCACAUCUGCUGCGCAUUUCCUCUCUAUCUGUUUCUGACUCUAGUGCUUCUCCCACUGACUUUUUCAUUUUUGUCUCACAAUCUUUCAAUUGGAACAGUCAUGGUGGAUGCAAUGGCUGCGGAGGUAACCGUUAGUGACCACAGUGUACUUAUUGUCAUAAGAUUAGCCAUACUCGAGAUCACUGUUUUAAGUUGAAUGGCCGGCC
rnacentral:lncRNA from 1 species